rnacentral:ncRNA from 1 species
CUUGGCAUCUCAUCUUGCAAAAAGGGGCUGCGCAAAAGGAAACUUCUGCGUGAUUAUCUCUCAAAUUCGGGGAAGCCUUUCAAAUGGUAAUCCCGAGCCAAACCUAGGAAUGCUUGGUGUUUCUGGGAAGGUGUAGAGACUUAAUGGGAGACACCCUAACAGAAAAGCUGAGGGUGAAGAGAAAGUCCAGACCACAAACUGACAGAG